rnacentral:rRNA from 1 species
GACGAACGCUGGCGGCGUGCUUAACACAUGCAAGUCGAACGGAAAGGCCCUGCUUUUGUGGGGUGCUCGAGUGGCGAACGGGUGAGUAACACGUGAGUAACCUGCCCUUGCCUUUGGGAUAACUUCAGGAAACUGGGGCUAAUACCGGAUAGGAGCUCCUGCUGCAUGGUGGGGGUUGGAAAGUUUCGGCGGUUGGGGAUGGACUCGCGGCUUAUCAGCUUGUUGGUGGGGUAGUGGCUUACCAAGGCUUUGACGGGUAGCCGGCCUGCGAGGGUGACCGGCCACAUUGGGACUGAGAUACGACCCAGACUCCUACGGGAGGCAGCAGUGGAGAAUAUUGCACAAUGGGCGGAAGCCUGAUGCAGCAACGCCGCGUGCGGGAUGACGGCCUUCGGGUUGUAAACCGCUUUCGCCUGUCACGAGGCGUGAGUGACGGUAAUGGGUAAAGAAGCACCGGCUAACUACGUG